AAGUGGAUUAGCGGCGGACGGGUGAGUAACACGUGAGUAACCUGCCUUAGACAUUGGGAUAGCCUCGGGAAACCGGGAUUAAUACCAAAUAAAAUCAUAAUGACACACGUCAUAACGAUCAAAACUCCGGUGGUCUAAGAUGGACUCGCGUCCCAUUAGCUAGUUGGUAGAGUAAAAGCCUACCAAGGCGACGAUGGGUAGCCGGCCUGAGAGGGUGAACGGCCACAUUGGAACUGAGAAACGGUCCAA
rnacentral:rRNA from 1 species